GUUCGGUUCAUCACGGGCGUGAUUCAGUAUCCAGUCAACAGAGUAUGUUGUGGAUUCUUAGUCUUUGAGACGACGGCAGUAUGACCAGAGCAAGGAAAGCGACGACAUCAAUAGCAAAGCAACAACCUCGGAGGAGAGAUAGAAAACGAGGAAGAUCAAGACAGUAUUUCCCUUACACACAGAAAAACUAUUGCAGUUUCAAAUCGAUUCGCUGAAAUGAGAAUUGAGCUCUCAGGAUUAUGCAUAGACCAUAAUUGUAGGCGCCACAGCAAAACGAGUAGAAGAUUGUUAUUUCGUACACAAGAAAGCUCAAAUCAACAAUGGAGACUGCAGCGAUGAAGUUGUACUGGGGGAAAAAUAACCACCUUUUCUUUAACUCGAAGAUUUCAUUCGCAAAGUCCUUAGCAGAGGAUGAUCAACCAAUUUCUGUGUAUGUAACUUGGCUUGCACGUCCUCAGUUGCCUGUCAGGGGCCAGGAAAGAUCCGCCGAAACCAAUCAUCAUACAUGCAGAGUGGAUAAUUGCUUUAAUUGAGUUAUUAUGUGGGUUGAAUCGUACUGUGUGCAUAUUUUCUUUAUAACUAUCAAAUUAUUAUUCUAAUGUGACUAUGAAAAGUUAUAUUGUGAUGUCGAUGCAAUGAAUAUAUCUGUAAAAAUGUAUCCACAACAUGUAGGACGAUGUACAAACAUGUAUUUGUGACCAUUGAUUUUUUAAUAUAUUUAACGACUUU